ACGGAGAGUUUGAUCAUGGCUCAGGACGAACGCUGGCGGCGUGCCUAAAACAUGCAAGUCGAACGAGGCCUUUGGCCUAGUGGCGAACGGCGGAGUAAUACAUAAGCAACCUGCCCCGAAGACCGGGAUAGCCCCUUGAAAGAGGGAUUAAUACCGGAUGUUGUCCGAGGAGGGCAUCCUUUUUGGACUAAAACGCGCAAGCGGCUUUGGGAGGGGCUUGUGGCCUAUCACCUUGUUGGUGGGGUAACGGCUCACCAAGGGUUCGACGGGUAGCUGGUCUGAGAGGACGAUCAGCCCGACUGGGACUGAGACACGGCCCAGACUCCUACGGGAGGCAGCAGUUAGGAAUCUUGCGCAAUGGAGGAAACUCUGACGCAGCGACGCCGCGUGCAGGACGAAGUAUUUCGGUAUGUAAACUGCUUUUGCCAGGAAAGAAAUCUGACGGUACCUGGCGAAUAAGCCCCGGCUAACUACGUGCCAGCAGCCGCGGUAAGACGUAGGGGGCGAGCGUUGUCCGGAUUUACUGGGCGUAAAGAGCGCGUAGGCGGCGUGGCGAAGAGGUGAUUGGAAUUCCCGGUGUAGCGGUGACAUGCAUUGAUAUCGGGAGGAACACCAACGGCGAAGGCAGGUCACUAGUCGCCAACUGACGCUGAGGCGCGAAAGCGUGGGUAGCAAACAGAAUUAGAUACUCUGGUAGUCCACGCCCUAAACGAUGGAUACUAGUCGUCGGGGGUAUCGACCCCCUCGGUGACGUCGCAAACGCACUAAGUAUCCCGCCUGGGGAGUACGGCCGCAAGGUUGAAACUCAAAUGAAUUGACGGGACCCCGCACAAGCGGUGGAGCAUGUGGAUUAAUUCGAUACUAACCGAAGAACCUUACCCAGACUUGACAUCGAUGGUAAGCCGUAGAAAUGCGGCCCCCUACCCACAAGGUAGGCCGGAAGACACCUGUUGCAUGGCUGUCGUCAGCUCGUGCCGUGAGGUGUUUGGUUAAGUCCAGCAACGAGCGCAACCCUCAUUUCGUGUUACCAGCGGAUAAAGCCGGGGACUCACGAAAAACUGCUCCGGUAACGGAGAGGAAGGUGAGGAUGACGUCAAGUCGGCAUGGCGGUUACGUCUGGGGCUUCACACAUGCUACAAUGGGCGCAACAAAGGGCAGCAAUACCGCGAGGUGGAGCUAAUCCCAAAAAUACGCCCUCAGUUCAGAUUGCAGUCUGCAAUUCGACUGCAUGAAGGCGGAAUCGCUAGUAACCGCAGGUCAGCUAUACUGCGGUGAAUACGUUCCCGGGGUUUGUACACACUGCCCGUCAAGUCACCUGAAUUGUCUGCACCCGAAGUCCGUGGCUCAACCGUAAGGAGAGAGCGGCCGAAGGUGUGGGGGGUAAGGGGGACUAAGUCGUAACAAGGUAGCCGUACCGGAAGGUGUGGCUGGAUCACCUCCUUUAUAGGGAGCA
rnacentral:rRNA from 1 species